AUGAACGCUGGCGGCGUGCCUAAUACAUGCAAGUCGAGCGAACAGACGAGGAGCUUGCUCCUCUGACGUUAGCGGCGGCCGGGUGAGUAACACGUGGAUAACCUACCUAUAAGACUGGGAUAACUUCGGGAAACCGGAGCUAAUACCGGAUAAUAUAUUGAACCGCAUGGUUCAAUAGUGAAAGACGGUUUUGCUGUCACUUAUAGAUGGAUCCGCGCCGCAUUAGCUAGUUGGUAAGGUAACGGCUUACCAAGGCAACGAUGCGUAGCCGACCUGAGAGGGUGAUCGGCCACACUGGAACUGAGACACGGUCCAGACUCCUACGGGAGGCAGCAGUAGGGAAUCUUCCGCAAUGGGCGAAAGCUUGGCGGAGCAACGCCGCGUGAGUGAUGAAGGUCUUCGGAUCGUAAAACUCUGUUAUUAGGGAAGAACAAAUGUGUAAGUAACUAUGCACGUCUUGACGGUACCUAAUCAGAAAGCCACGGCUAACUACGUG
rnacentral:rRNA from 1 species